rnacentral:sRNA from 1 species
UUUCUAAAAUCUACAGUAAGAGGAAACCGUAAUCUGAUCUAAAGGAACAGCAUGUUUUAAUCUGAAAGCACAUCACAAUGAACUUGGUGGAAUGACUUUUCUGGGGUAAUGUAAUGAUGACAUGCAAAAAUAUGACUGAUUUGCAUCACAAAAACGUCGCUAGUCAAAUCAAAUUCCCAGGCAGUUUGCAAGCAAACAUUCAAAUUGUCAAUCAAAAUCAGAAAAGGUGUCAUACACACAUUUCUCUUGGUAGAUACUAGUAUAACUUUUCAUUCUAACUUAUAGAAAUUGAGAAGUUUAAAUCUUAACAUUUGGAAACUUUUUUUUUAUUUCUCUGAACCAACUGAAAUGCAAAAAGUUUUGCAGUGAUGUUUCAUAGGGUUCACAUUAAUUGCCAUGCAAAUAUUACUUUGCAAGCAAGCUUAUCGUAUGCUGAAUACUUUAUCUUACUAUCAAUGUUGUGUACAUAAAUAGACAUUUAUAAUGGAUCGGGGUUUUUUUCAAAACAUAAAUGUAUGAAAUAAAUGUUAAUUGUGAAAAAAUGUUCAUUUGGAGCUUGGAAUUUGGUCAUCUAACCACCCAAGAUAAUUCCGAUGGAAUAUAAUGAAUAGCAAUGUAGUUAACUAAGUAGCAAGAUAGUUAUUUUGUGUGCCGUCAAAAGUGUUACAAUUUAUGUUUAUGUGUGGAAAAUACUAGUAUAUAACUCUGUUUUUUAUACUUAAGGGUGUUGUUACACUUUAUUUUUUCUAUUAUAUCUUCUUAUUGUUUACACGCUUUAGAAAGUAUUUAUUAUGGGUAGUCUUUCUUUUUUUGUGUGUGUGUUAGCUGUUUAGUUACAAGCAAUAUACAUAGCUCUUGUGGUUUUUUUAAGUUAAAAGGGUUUGUGUCAUGCCCUUUUUCACAUUGAUUGUAUGUAAGCUAACACUUUAUUUAGUUACGAUAUCUUCCAAUUUGUUUUAAACAUGGUAUUUUUUAUCUUUCAACAAAUUAUGAAUUUAAAAUAAAUU